UUAAGCGACUAAGCGUACACGGUGGAUGCCCUGGCAGUCAGAGGCGAUGAAGGACGUGCUAAUCUGCGAUAAGCGUCGGUAAGGUGAUAUGAACCGUUAUAACCGGCGAUUUCCGAAUGGGGAAACCCAGUGUGAUUCGUCACACUAUCAUUAACUGAAUCCAUAGGUUAAUGAGGCGAACCGGGGGAACUGAAACAUCUAAGUACCCCGAGGAAAAGAAAUCAACCGAGAUUCCCCCAGUAGCGGCGAGCGAACGGGGAGCAGCCCAGAGCCUGAAUCAGUGUGUGUGUUAGUGGAAGCGUCUGGAAAGGCGCGCGAUACAGGGUGACAGCCCCGUACACAAAAAUGCACAUGCUGUGAGCUCGAUGAGUAGGGCGGGACACGUGGUAUCCUGUCUGAAUAUGGGGGGACCAUCCUCCAAGGCUAAAUACUCCUGACUGACCGAUAGUGAACCAGUACCGUGAGGGAAAGGCGAAAAGAACCCCGGCGAGGGGAGUGAAAAAGAACCUGAAACCGUGUACGUACAAGCAGUGGGAGCACGCUUAGGCGUGUGACUGCGUACCUUUUGUAUAAUGGGUCAGCGACUUAUAUUCUGUAGCAAGGUUAACCGAAUAGGGGAGCCGAAGGGAAACCGAGUCUUAACUGGGCGUUAAGUUGCAGGGUAUAGACCCGAAACCCGGUGAUCUAGCCAUGGGCAGGUUGAAGGUUGGGUAACACUAACUGGAGGACCGAACCGACUAAUGUUGAAAAAUUAGCGGAUGACUUGUGGCUGGGGGGGAAAGGCCAAUCAAACCGGGAGAUAGCUGGUUCUCCCCGAAAGCUAUUUAGGUAGCGCCUCGUGAAUUCAUCUCCGGGGGUAGAGCACUGUUUCGGCAAGGGGGUCAUCCCGACUUACCAACCCGAUGCAAACUGCGAAUACCGGAGAAUGUUAUCACGGGAGACACACGGCGGGUGCUAACGUCCGUCGUGAAGAGGGAAACAACCCAGACCGCCAGCUAAGGUCCCAAAGUCAUGGUUAAGUGGGAAACGAUGUGGGAAGGCCCAGACAGCCAGGAUGUUGGCUUAGAAGCAGCCAUCAUUUAAAGAAAGCGUAAUAGCUCACUGGUCGAGUCGGCCUGCGCGGAAGAUGUAACGGGGCUAAACCAUGCACCGAAGCUGCGGCAGCGACGCUUAUGCGUUGUUGGGUAGGGGAGCGUUCUGUAAGCCUGCGAAGGUGUGCUGUGAGGCAUGCUGGAGGUAUCAGAAGUGCGAAUGCUGACAUAAGUAACGAUAAAGCGGGUGAAAAGCCCGCUCGCCGGAAGACCAAGGGUUCCUGUCCAACGUUAAUCGGGGCAGGGUGAGUCGACCCCUAAGGCGAGGCCGAAAGGCGUAGUCGAUGGGAAACAGGUUAAUAUUCCUGUACUUGGUGUUACUGCGAAGGGGGGACGGAGAAGGCUAUGUUGGCCGGGCGACGGUUGUCCCGGUUUAAGCGUGUAGGCUGGUUUUCCAGGCAAAUCCGGAAAACUAAGGCUGAGGAGUGAUGACGAGGCACUACGGUGCUGAAGCAACAAAUGCCCUGCUUCCAGGAAAAGCCUCUAAGCAUCAGGUAACAUCAAAUCGUACCCCAAACCGACACAGGUGGUCAGGUAGAGAAUACCAAGGCGCUUGAGAGAACUCGGGUGAAGGAACUAGGCAAAAUGGUGCCGUAACUUCGGGAGAAGGCACGCUGAUAUGUAGGUGAAGUCCCUCGCGGAUGGAGCUGAAAUCAGUCGAAGAUACCAGCUGGCUGCAACUGUUUAUUAAAAACACAGCACUGUGCAAACACGAAAGUGGACGUAUACGGUGUGACGCCUGCCCGGUGCCGGAAGGUUAAUUGAUGGGGUCAGCGCAAGCGAAGCUCUUGAUCGAAGCCCCGGUAAACGGCGGCCGUAACUAUAACGGUCCUAAGGUAGCGAAAUUCCUUGUCGGGUAAGUUCCGACCUGCACGAAUGGCGUAAUGAUGGCCAGGCUGUCUCCACCCGAGACUCAGUGAAAUUGAACUCGCUGUGAAGAUGCAGUGUACCCGCGGCAAGACGGAAAGACCCCGUGAACCUUUACUAUAGCUUGACACUGAACAUUGAGCCUUGAUGUGUAGGAUAGGUGGGAGGCUUUGAAGUGUGGACGCCAGUCUGCAUGGAGCCGACCUUGAAAUACCACCCUUUAAUGUUUGAUGUUCUAACGUUGACCCGUGAUCCGGGUUGCGGACAGUGUCUGGUGGGUAGUUUGACUGGGGCGGUCUCCUCCUAAAGAGUAACGGAGGAGCACGAAGGUUGGCUAAUCCUGGUCGGACAUCAGGAGGUUAGUGCAAUGGCAUAAGCCAGCUUGACUGCGAGCGUGACGGCGCGAGCAGGUGCGAAAGCAGGUCAUAGUGAUCCGGUGGUUCUGAAUGGAAGGGCCAUCGCUCAACGGAUAAAAGGUACUCCGGGGAUAACAGGCUGAUACCGCCCAAGAGUUCAUAUCGACGGCGGUGUUUGGCACCUCGAUGUCGGCUCAUCACAUCCUGGGGCUGAAGUAGGUCCCAAGGGUAUGGCUGUUCGCCAUUUAAAGUGGUACGCGAGCUGGGUUUAGAACGUCGUGAGACAGUUCGGUCCCUAUCUGCCGUGGGCGCUGGAGAACUGAGGGGGGCUGCUCCUAGUACGAGAGGACCGGAGUGGACGCAUCACUGGUGUUCGGGUUGUCAUGCCAAUGGCACUGCCCGGUAGCUAAAUGCGGAAGAGAUAAGUGCUGAAAGCAUCUAAGCACGAAACUUGCCCCGAGAUGAGUUCUCCCUGACUCCUUGAGAGUCCUGAAGGAACGUUGAAGACGACGACGUUGAUAGGCCGGGUGUGUAAGCGCAGCGAUGCGUUGAGCUAACCGGUACUAAUGAACCGUGAGGCUUAACCUU
rnacentral:rRNA from 1 species